rnacentral:rRNA from 1 species
UAAUACAGAGGGUGCGAGCGUUAAUCGGAAUUACUGGGCGUAAAGCGUGCGUAGACGGUUAUUUAAGUCAGAUGUGAAAGCCCCGGGCUCAACCUGGGAAUUGCAUUUGAGACUGAAUAGCUAGGGUGCGGUAGAGGGAAGCGGAAUUUCCGGUGUAGCGGUGAAAUGCGUAGAUAUCGGAAGGAACAUCAGUGGCGAAAGCGGCUUCCUGGACCAGCACCGACGUUCAGGCACGAAAGCGUGGGGAGCAAACAGGAUUAGAUACCCUGGUAGUCCACGCCAUAAACGAUGAGGACUAGACGUUGGAGGGGUAAGCCUUUCAGUGUCGUAGCUAACGCGCUAAGUCCUCCGCCUGGGGAGUACGGCCGCAAGGUUG